GUGUCAGCCGCCGCGGUAAUACGAAGGGGGCUAGCGUUGCUCGGAAUCACUGGGCGUAAAGCGCACGUAGGCGGCUUGUUAAGUCAGGGGUGAAAUCCUGGAGCUCAACUCCAGAACUGCCUUUGAUACUGGCGAGCUUGAGUUCGGGAGAGGUGAGUGGAACUGCGAGUGUAGAGGUGAAAUUCGUAGAUAUUCGCAAGAACACCAGUGGCGAAGGCGGCUCACUGGCCCGAUACUGACGCUGAGGUGCGAAAGCGUGGGGAGCAAACAGGAUUAGAUACCCCCGUAGUCC
rnacentral:rRNA from 1 species